AAUAAUAUAUAUUGUGAUGGCAAAAUCCACAGAUACCCAGAGACUGCUUAAUACCAGCGAAAUUCCAUGGAGAGAUACAUGUUGGGGAGAAAGGGGGUGGUGGGGAGAGGGGGGAAUCUUUUGAAAGAUUGCUAAAAGGACAUAUCAAGAUGAACAGGUCCUUCACUGGCUCCUGGCUCCAUCCAGGAGAAGCAGCAUCCGCCUCCAGUGCCC